ACACUUCCAUAGCAAACCAAUAUUUCCAUUUCACCUACAAGGAAGAUCAACCCCUACAAAACCAGCAUACACUUCCACACAUCCAAUGGCAAACUAAUACUAUGUGUACAACAAAUUCCACAUAUCCAACACAUCCAAUGUAAAGUAUUAAAGUAUGUGUACAACAAAUUCCUCCACUAAUACACACUUUCCACAUAGUACUACAACAAAUACACUCUAAAGUCAACACCUAAAACACUACAAUACAACACCUAUUCAUAAACUACUACAAGCAGAAAACCUGAAAAUUAAAGUAUGUACAACAAGUAGUACUAGAAUCUCGUAGCUUAUAUAUUAAAACAAUUAGUAUUAGUACUAGUAACUUAUAAACUACAAAAAAAAGUGUAAAAGCUUACAC
rnacentral:lncRNA from 1 species